rnacentral:tRNA from 1 species
GGGGAUGUAGUUAAACAUAACAUUUAAUUUGCAAUUAAAAGGUGCUUUUAAGCCUUCCUCA